rnacentral:rRNA from 1 species
AUGGUUUGGGCAGGCCUAUGCCAGGCAUUGGGGAAGUUAGAUUGGACACCUACUUCGGCUGAGUGCCUCCGGACUUGGCUAUGCAGUAAACAAGGACUCCACACCAUUUCCAACAAGGAUUUACACACACUACUAUUGCUGACGUUGUGGGAAAUCUGGAAACAUAGGAAUGCGGUUGUGUUCGGUGGGGCAAGGCCAUCAGUUGCUGAGCUUCUACGCAAAAUCUCCGCGGAAGGUAGAACAUGGUUGAUGGCUGGGCUCAUUAAAGGAAAUGUGGAUCAUGUGUUUGCGGGUCUAAUACGGUGGAGCAUUGGGGAGGAGUAG